ACAGCCAUUUCUCACCUCCUCUCCGGCAACCACGCUGACUGAAGCUGACAUCUUCUUUCCGGAAGCCGUGGCAAUGGCCUGCUCCACGGUUCUCUGCAUUCAUUCUUACCAUUUCCAGUGAACUUUGGGAACAACCAAAAUAAGAAGAACCAAUCUGGAGAGAGGACUGGUACUCGUGGAGCUAGCGGUUUUGGAGGCUGGAACCCUGGGGUCUGAAGCCUGCCCGGGUCAGUUAGUUACUGACUUACGUACCAGCCAAGGUAGCAGAGCUGCUUUCACACCCACGGCUGCCUGGAGACCCCAUGAAGGACCCCACAGAGGACCACCAGCUUGCAGUCGCCCAUCGCUGCUCUGAGACGGGAACCCCCGUGGCUGUCUCUGCCUUAUGAGAGCCAAUUUUUGGAUGCACCAGUGGUCCAAUGAGAUUUCUUCUGACGUAUAUCCACAAAGGUAAAGAAAUUGAGACACGAUGUUUCAUAUCCGGUCCAAUGUCUUGAAGCUAAUUGGAAGGAGAACUGAGUGCCAGAAUGUUCUUAAUUACUACUUCAAAUAUAUCACACGAGGACCCAGACUCACAGAUGAUACUCAAUCAGCAGAUGCAUAAACCAAUUCAUCUCUGAUAAGAGAGGCCAGGAAUUGGGCUGUCCACUUCAUUUCUCAGAAGCGUCUGUCAACCUCGUGGGAUUUUUAUGGAGGUUUUUUCUGUACGUCUGACAUUCCAAACUGAAACAGAUGAUGCCAGCCCAGUUCCUAAGAGAAGCAAACACUUAAACUGAGAAGACAGUGAUAAAAACAGGAAAUAACUUCACCCUGGGAAUAUUCCAGAAACCAAGUUUGAAUAAUUCCUUCAUGUUCAGUUGAAUACAGGUUGACUCCCAGGUUGACUCACUCAUGUAAAUACUCCUGACUAUGUUAUGACUGUUAAACACACACACACACACACACACACACACACCCUUAUCUUUCCAAAAUGCUAACUAUGCAGCAUGAAUCAGUCACUCUGGACGUUAGAGCACUGGGUUCUUCAUCAUCAACCUUGACUCCUCUCUUGUCAUCCUCGCAUCCAGUCCAGCAGCAAACCCUGCCCCUGCCACCCACCUUCUAAAUUUGAGACUUACUCUAGAGGCCAGCACAUGUCCACUUGGGUAAAUGUUCCAUGUACACUUGAAAAAGAAUACAUAUUCUGUAGUCAUCA